UUAUUUGAGAGUUUGAUCCUGGCUCAGGAUGAACGCUGGCGGCGUGCCUAACACAUGCAAGUUGAGCGAUUUACUUCGGUAAAGAGCGGCGGACGGGUGAGUAACGCGUGGGUAACCUACCCUGUACACACGGAUAACAUACCGAAAGGUAUGCUAAUACGGGAUAACAUAUUUGAGAGGCAUCUCUUGAAUAUCAAAGGUGAGCCAGUACAGGAUGGACCCGCGUCUGAUUAGCUAGUUGGUAAGGUAACGGCUUACCAAGGCAACGAUACGUAGCCGACCUGAGAGGGUGAUCGGCCACACUGGAACUGAGACACGGUCCAGACUCCUACGGGAGGCAGCAGUAGGGAAUCUUCCGCAAUGGGCGAAAGCCUGACGGAGCAACGCCGCGUGAGUGAUGAAGGUCUUCGGAUCGUAAAACUCUGUUAUCAGGGAAGAACAAAUGUGUAAGUAACUGUGCACAUCUUGACGGUACCUGAUCAGAAAGCCACGGCUAACUACGUGCCAGCAGCCGCGGUAAUACGUAGGUGGCAAGCGUUAUCCGGAAUUAUUGGGCGUAAAGCGCGCGUAGGCGGUUUUUUAAGUCUGAUGUGAAAGCCCACGGCUCAACCGUGGAGGGUCAUUGGAAACUGGAAAACUUGAGUGCAGAAGAGGAAAGUGGAAUUCCAUGUGUAGCGGUGAAAUGCGCAGAGAUAUGGAGGAACACCAGUGGCGAAGGCGACUUUCUGGUCUGUAACUGACGCUGAUGUGCGAAAGCGUGGGGAUCAAACAGGAUUAGAUACCCUGGUAGUCCACGCCGUAAACGAUGAGUGCUAAGUGUUAGGGGGUUUCCGCCCCUUAGUGCUGCAGCUAACGCAUUAAGCACUCCGCCUGGGGAGUACGACCGCAAGGUUGAAACUCAAAGGAAUUGACGGGGACCCGCACAAGCGGUGGAGCAUGUGGUUUAAUUCGAAGCAACGCGAAGAACCUUACCAAAUCUUGACAUCCUUUGACCGCUCUAGAGAUAGAGUCUUCCCCUUCGGGGGACAAAGUGACAGGUGGUGCAUGGUUGUCGUCAGCUCGUGUCGUGAGAUGUUGGGUUAAGUCCCGCAACGAGCGCAACCCUUAAGCUUAGUUGCCAUCAUUAAGUUGGGCACUCUAAGUUGACUGCCGGUGACAAACCGGAGGAAGGUGGGGAUGACGUCAAAUCAUCAUGCCCCUUAUGAUUUGGGCUACACACGUGCUACAAUGGACAAUACAAAGGGCAGCUAAACCGCGAGGUCAAGCAAAUCCCAUAAAGUUGUUCUCAGUUCGGAUUGUAGUCUGCAACUCGACUACAUGAAGCUGGAAUCGCUAGUAAUCGUAGAUCAGCAUGCUACGGUGAAUACGUUCCCGGGUCUUGUACACACCGCCCGUCACACCACGAGAGUUUGUAACACCCGAAGCCGGUGGAGUAACCAUUUAUGGAGCUAGCCGUCGAAGGUGGGACAAAUGAUUGGGGUGAAGUCGUAACAAGGUAGCCGUAUCGGAAGGUGCGGCUGGAUCACCUCCUUU
rnacentral:rRNA from 1 species